rnacentral:rRNA from 1 species
ACAUGCCUACAACAUAGAGUUAAUGCAUUAGAUCCCAUUAGAAAUCCACAGUUAAGCACCCUCAAGCUAGAGUAGUACUAGGAUGGGUGACUACCUGGGAAGUCCUAGUAUUUUACAUGCC